AUUUCAUCUUCAAACCACUUAGAUGCUAAGCAGUUAGGUUUAGACUGUGGGAGAGUAGGUUAUUGAAUUGAAAACAUGCUAUCCUUUUGUAUCUCAUGUGUGGUGAAUGUUAUUGAUGUAUAGUUAGUGGAUCUAGGCCUCUUACUCAUUGAUGUGAUAGAUAUGAUUUUGGUAUUUACUUACCCACCUAAGUAUGUAAAGUUUGCUUUA